rnacentral:rRNA from 1 species
UACGGAGGGUGCAAGCGUUAUCCGGAUUCACUGGGUUUAAAGGGUGCGUAGGCGGAUAGGUAAGUCCGUGGUGAAAUCCUGCAGCUUAACUGCAGAACUGCCAUGGAUACUAUUUAUCUUGAAUAUCGUGGAGGUUAGCGGAAUAUGUCAUGUAGCGGUGAAAUGCUUAGAUAUGACAUAGAACACCCAUGCGAAGGCAGCUAACUACGCGAUAAUUGACGCUGAUGCACGAAAGCGUGGGGAUCAAACAGG